CAUUAACGUUAUCGUAGAGCGUUAGCAUUAGCAUUACCUUGUAAUGAUAUCUUUCAAUUCCAUUUUCAGUCAUUUAUAUCGCGUGGGUAAAAAUGUGUUUGUGUUUCUGUGACGGAGGCGUCCCUGACAUGAGUUGUGGGCUCUUGGUAAUCUGUGUAAAUACCUGUUUGUAUUUGUUUCCACUUUACCGAUAUUUUCUGUCUCUUUGUCAGUUUGUGUUCCAUCCUGGUCAUGUUAACUUCGUUUACGACGGUAUAUCGUUGUCAUUGGUUUGUGGCUAUUUGUGGUCAUUUUAUAUCAUUUUGCGUCUCUACUUGGCUGUUUUACACCUGGGUGUUGUGUUAGCAGUAGCGUCGAGCGUUAGCAUCAGCCUUAUCUCCUAGUGCUGUCUAUGGGGCUUUUUAUUUGCGUGGGUUAAAGUGUGUUUGUGUUUCUGUGACUAACUGUAUGUAUGUAUGUAUAUUUAUUUAGUAGACAUUGUAUUGCUUCUUUGUAAUUUUGUGCUCCAUAUUGGUCAUUUUAAGUCAGUUUAUGGCGUAUUAUCUUUUUGAUGUCAUGUCUCUUUCUGGUGGCAUUGCAUCGUUUUGCGUCUCAAGCUGGCUGUUUCACAUGUAUCUACUACUCUAUUUAUCUUAUCGUCAGCUUCUUUGCGGUUGUUUUGCAUCAUAUUGUGUCUUCGUAGUCUCGUGUCUAUUCCUGGUCAUUUAACGUUUCUCUGUCGCCAUUUUGUGUUUCAGUGUGGCGGUUAAGCAUCUCAUUGUGGUCAUUUUGCGACUCAGUCUUUGCCUCUUUGUUGUUUUGUGUGUCUUUGUAGCUUUGUGGUAGUAAUCUGUCCAGUGUUUCAGUGUUGUAUUCUAUGACACCAUUCAAGUUUUGGAGGUGAACUAUUCUUUUUUCAAUUAGGUUAUUUGUUUUUCAAGUGUUGUACUUGUGUUUUCCAGGUUUACUUGUUCAGUUGCUGCAUCCUGGACUGAAACACCAGCACUCACCUUAAAAACCAAAUAGGUGUCACCACUUCGUCCACCAUGUAGUCCAUGAUCACAGAGAUGUCAUCCACAAUUGCAGAGACAUGGUCCAUGAUUGGAGAGACAUUGUUGAGGAUGAGGGAGACGUCGUCCACGAUUGCAGAAUGUCUUCAUACAAUAAAGAAGUUCUUUGAGACCAGAACUAAGACCUCCAGGUGUCACGACGUUGUCCACGGUCGCAGGGAGUCUUUCUACGACAAGGAAGUUCUUUGAGACCAGGACUGAGGCCUCAGGAGGAGAAGACGACAGCAGCUGAAGACCUGAAGCGGAUGAAAGAAAACAAAAGUGUUACAAAGCUGUUGAUUAGAUAAAAGACCUCCACCAUCUAACUGCUGUAAACAGUAUUGGUUUGCUGUUGUUCAAGUGAAAACACUUUGUUUUUCCUCUACCAUCUGUAAUGUAGUCAUGGGCACAUUUUCCAACACUCAUGAGAACAUUGAACUGCUUAUGAUACAACUAUUUAAUUAAUAAUUGUAUCACAAGUAGAUGCUUACAAGACAUGUUCAUCUUUGGAAAAUGUGCUCAUAACUAAAUUAACCCUAACCCAAGUCUUUUCUUGUGGUCAAAUGUCUGUGAUUUGUAAAAUGUCUGGAAUAAAAUCAUUAAA